AUGAAGCCCAGCUUGCUGGGUGGAUUAGUGGCGAACGGGUGAGUAACACGUGAGUAACCUGCCCUUGACUCUGGGAUAAGCGCUGGAAACUGCGUCUAAUACCGGAUAUGACCUUCCACCGCAUGGUGAGUUGGUGGAAAGAAUUUCGGUCGAGGAUGGACUCGCGGCCUAUCAGCUAGUUGGUGAGGUAAUGGCUCACCAAGCCGACGACGGGUAGCCGGCCUGAGAGGGUGACCGGCCACACUGGGACUGAGACACGGCCCAGACUCCUACGGGAGGCAGCAGUGGGGAAUAUUGCACAAUGGGCGCAAGCCUGAUGCAGCGACGCCGCGUGAGGGAGGAAGGCGCUCUCGUUGUAAACCUCUUUCAGCAGGGAAGAAGCGAAAGUGACGGUACCUGCAGAA
rnacentral:rRNA from 1 species